rnacentral:rRNA from 1 species
UACGUAGGGUGCGAGCGUUGUCCGGAAUUAUUGGGCGUAAAGGGCUCGUAGGCGGUUUGUCGCGUCGGGAGUGAAAACCAGGUGCUUAACACCUGGCUUGCUUUCGAUACUGGCGUGACUAGAGUUCGGUAGGGGAUCACGGAAUUCCUGGUGUAGCGGUGGAAAUGACGCAGAUAUCAGGAGGAACACCGGUGGCGAAGGCAGCUCGCUGGGACGUGACUGACGCUGAGACGCGAAAGCGUGGGGGAGCAAACAGG